AGAGUUUGAUCCUGGCUCAGAUUGAACGCUGGCGGCAUGCUUUACACAUGCAAGUCGAACGGUAACAGGUCUUCGGAUGCUGACGAGUGGCGAACGGGUGAGUAAUACAUCGGAACGUGCCUAGUAGUGGGGGAUAACUACUCGAAAGAGUAGCUAAUACCGCAUGAGAUCUACGGAUGAAAGCAGGGGACCUUCGGGCCUUGUGCUACUAGAGCGGCUGAUGGCAGAUUAGGUAGUUGGUGGGGUAAAGGCUUACCAAGCCUGCGAUCUGUAGCUGGUCUGAGAGGACGACCAGCCACACUGGGACUGAGACACGGCCCAGACUCCUACGGGAGGCAGCAGUGGGGAAUUUUGGACAAUGGGCGAAAGCCUGAUCCAGCAAUGCCGCGUGCAGGAUGAAGGCCCUCGGGUUGUAAACUGCUUUUGUACGGAACGAAAAGCCUGGGGCUAAUAUCCCCGGGUCAUGACGUACCGUAAGAAUAGC
rnacentral:rRNA from 1 species